rnacentral:rRNA from 1 species
CGGCGAGUGAAGCGGGAUGAGCUCAAGCUUAAAAUCUCCGUGCAAAUUUUGCAUGGCGAAUUGUAGUCUAUAGAGGCGUGAUUAGCGUAAGCACUUGGGGCAAGUUCCUUGGAAGAGGACAGCAUCGAGGGUGAUACUCCCGUUUAUCUCCGAGUCGCUUAUGCGUACAAUCCGUUUUCUUUGAGUCGCGUUGUUUGAGAAUGCAGCGCAAAGUAGGUGGUAAAUUCCAUCUAAAGCUAAAUAUUGGUGCGAGACCGAUAGCAAACAAGUACCGUGAGGGAAAGAUGAAAAGAACUUUGAAAAGAGAGUUAAAGAGUACCUGAAACUGCUGAAAGGGAACCAAAUCGUUUCCAGUGUCUAUAAUCCGUGGUAUAUUUCAUUGGCGAAUGUGUGCGUGCGUGUACUAUGGCAGUGGCUUUUUGCUUCGCCUUGUGUGUGUGUGCCCUUUUUUGCUGAUGCCCUGUACCGUGGUGGGACGUCAAUGUCGGUUCGUAAAUUGCGGGAAAUGACUGCCGAGGAGGUAGGGCGAACGCUUGCGUUUGUCUGUUAUAUCUUGGCGGACGUAGUAGUCGCGGUUGGGACUGAGGUGCCUACAAUGUGCUUAUAUGAGUGGAAUUGAUUUUUCGUGUGCGCCGUGUGCGGAUAGCUUGCUAUGCGUGUGUGGCUGUGUGUGGAU